rnacentral:rRNA from 2 species
AAUUUUAAGGUCAAGCUACAAAGGGCGCAUGGUGAAUGCCUUGGCACUAGGAGCCGAAGAAGGACGCGAUAAGCUGCGAUAAGCCUUGGGUAGCCGCAAAUAGGCUGAGAUCCAGGGAUUUCCGAAUGAGGAAA